CGGCACCAGAUAUUCUUUUCAAGGUAAGGGCGUAAUGAAUUUUGAUAUAUCUUCCGUUCACAAGAAACGUCAGUUUAAAUGCCUUGUAGCUAUUUUGAGGCUUUUCUAUAACCCUGAAGGAACCGUGUCUUUAUUUUUUACAUUUUUGAGAAGCAAUUCACAUUCAUCAUAUAGAUUAAUCAGUGUACAUUUUGUUGAGCAAUCAUCGAGGAACGGAAAAUGUUUACAACGUGUAUGUUCUGACUAAUGUUACAAUGUCUGGAACAAUAAUUAACAUUUUGUGUACUUUCUUUUUCUUUGGAAGAUGUAUCAAAUCAACAGAAUCUUCAACUGUGGAUAUAGCUGUAACGACUUUUUCUACCUCCCUUGAUGCCUCCACUUAUUUAACAAAUGGUUUGGUAUGGUGUCAAUUGAGGUUUAAUGUUCCUUUUUAAAAUGUUAUUCUCAUAUCACUACUGUACAAAAAAUCGAAAUAUAGAAUAUAUAAAAUAAGGAAAUCUUCAAGCUUACCGACGCGAUUUUCCAUAAGUAUCUAACAUGUAUACUUCAUUAUACAUACCUACAUGUGUUAUGUUGCCUCUGAUUUAAAUACAGGUCAUUUUAUUUUGUAGGUCAGAAAGCAAGUACAACGAUGCUGCUGCUUCAAAUUGUUAAAGACCUGUCUAGUUUUUGCCUAAUUUUUUUGCAUUUAGUUCUUACAAAUAAUUGUUAAUAAUGCUAGGAAAAAAACUGUACAUUUGAAAAAUACAAUAUUAGAAAUUAGAUGUGCAUGAAUACACUUUAUAAAUAAUUUUUUUUUGUACUAUA